AAUUCUUUUAUUUUUUUCACUUGCUGUCUGGAAAAUGUGGGAUGAAGAGAGUGAAGCAGAAACAUUGGGAACACAAAGUUUGACAACAAUAAAUGCUGAAAACUCUAUUUGGAAAAAUACUAAUUUCAAGAUUAAAAACAUAAAUUUUAAAAUGAAUCGUAUAGCAUAUGAAAUUUUCCAAGUUGGUCUCCCUCCAUGAUGCAGUUCUCAAUUGGGACAGGUGAAAGAGAACAAAGAAAGAGGGUAUCAGUCAUAUAAAGUAACCAGGAAAUGAAGAGGAAUCAUUUUCUGGAAUUUCUCUUAAAUUGAGAAGAAGAGACAUCAGAAUUCUGGACUCCCACUGCUGGAAUACAAUUUGGGGAUAUUGAUUCAACUUUAAC